AUACACUCCACCUGGGCUGAUGAGUACAUGCUGACAUGAAUAAACACCCAUCGUGGUGUCUGUACUCACAGAUCAGCAAUGUUCAGAAACACUAGAAAGCUUACUACAACAGUGUACUUCAUCCCAGCAGAAUUUCUUCACAAUAAAUAAAAAAUUGAAAUGAGGCUAUAACCAAAAUAAAAUUCCAAUUAUCUCACUUAUUAGCUCAGCAAGAAAAGCCACUCACCGGUGCUGAGUUAGUGCAAUCUUACCUGACUGCAGCAGCUGAAGAGAUGCAGGUACAGAGCUUGUUCAGACAAGGACUUUGGGAGCAGCUGCGUGGAGAGGGCGGCCCUUGGGAGCAGCCACAAUAAACUGCCUUCCUUUUUCGAAGGCAGACACUUCAGAGCGGUUUCUCUUUGCUCUUGGUGAGCGGCUGGGUGGUGUUGACACCCUCAGUUGUUGAUUUGGAGAGUUUAAGUUCUGUGUGACUGAGGAGUGAGCCACGGAGAGAGUGUACCUGGGACUGAGAGAGCAAGCUUGCUGAGUCCUGUACUCGAAGGCAGGAUCCCUGCAGUUCCCAAAACAAAAAGAUGUGACCGAUCUCAACAGGUGGAAAGUUUCAGGUGCAGGACCCUUCCUCAGAGGGGUGUGGCUCACCCUGAAUCAAGAGUGCCCCCCAUCAAAACUGUGACCAUGCCGGGGUCUGAGGAAGCAGGGAAAGCUCCAGAACCUCCCCUGUGCUGAUUCAUGGCCACACUCAGGUCAUCUGAACUGAAUCACUUCCUGCUUACAGACUAAGUCACAUUUUAGUAGCUGGCCCAUGAAUUUCAUGACAAUGGUCAAUUAGCCACAGAAUCAUUUAAACCAAAUCAUUUUUAUUACCAUUCUUCUGUAGCCAUUUAUAGUAUAACUUUAUAUAAUUGAAAUAUAUAUGAAUAUUAAUGUAUAAAAUAUACAAACAAUAUGUUAAGCCAGAUAUUUUCAGAGAGGAGAAAGCAUAUUUAGAGGCUGGGUUAGAAGCCCUUAGGAAUUAAAAGCCAGGCAUAUUUUUAUUAUUGUGUUGGUGCACUUACCUAGAAAUGACUGUCUGUUGCUAUAUCAAAACAUCAAAUAAUGACUUCUGAAGCAUUUUCCUUAUUCGGGAGACUGAUUUAAAAAAAAAAAAAACAGUUGUAAAAGCACUUCAGUCCAUGCAAAGGAUAUAUAUAUAAUUAUUAAUAAAAUAAAAUUACAAAUAAGGACUUACUUUGUAAAUUCAAUUUGCACAGAAUUUAUUGUCCUGUCCUUCCUCACAUGGAAAAUAACUUAGGAUCAACUAAAGAACACAAAAUCAGAAAAAGCAGUUAGCCCAAGACCCAAAUUUAGUGUUAAUUGCAAAAAAUAAACCAGGAGAUUAAAAGUUAAAUUUUAGAAGGAACUAUGACUAAAUUACUAAAAGCAUGAAAGUGAAAUGUGGUAGUUAUACAUGCCUUGUGAAUACAUUAUAGAUAACUUAUUGUUUGUUGUUUUGAAUACCUUAUUUCCAUGGCAACCUCUGGAUCAUAAUACAUAUGGUCCUUUAGAGAUUUCAAAAAUAUCCUUGGAGAAAAAUGCAAACUCUCCUAAUGUUUAAAAUCUCAAGAGGCAAAAAUGUGUUUCAGCAAACUAUCACGGUUUAAAAUUACAUUUAACUUAAUGUUUAUAAAUAUUUAUUAUCUAAUGAAAAUAAAAUUUCUUUAGGAAAAAUAUGCAAACAUUUAUCUUUGGAAGCUCCUUUUCAUCUUAGCAUGUUUUAUGGCACUAAGCUUAAUAUACCAUAUAACAAAUGCUAUAAAUAUAAAUAGUUGCAUUUCCCAAUGUUUCUUGUGUUUCCAGAGAUGAACUUGUGAAAAUACCACCUAGGUUUCAUGUUAUUUGUCCUCUUUGAGUCUUGGUUUAUUUUAUUCAUGAAACUAGGGAGUAAUCUAACUACCUGUUUAUCUUAAAUAUAUUUAUACCACCAACCUGUCCUGCCAACCUAGGCAAAUCAUUAAACUCUAUCAAGUUUGUUACAUUAUAUCUAAAGUGAAGGGACAAUGUGGACAAAUAUUCCAAUAUAUUUUAUACUUGUUAUUUCUUCCAGGUUGUAGAGAACGUUUUCUGUACCCAAAUGAACAAUAACAUUUUCCUCUGUACAAAAGCCUAAAUGAAGGAAAAUAAAAAUAUCUUGGUAUUAAAUAGAUGAGUCCAAUCAUAAAUGCUAUAAAUAUUUUCCUACUCCUUUUCUUAUUCAAAUUCAUUGACUACAUCAUUCACUUCUUAUGUACCAGCUCUAAAAUAGGAAACUAAAUUGUAGCAUUUACAAGGAAAAUGAAGUUGCAGCAAUGAAUAUUUUUUCAAAAAAUAGAAAGAAAGUAAAUGAGGAAGCAACAUUAAUUUUAAGGUUAUAUAGACUAGGAAACAAACUAAUAUCUAUUAUUUCCUGAAUGAUUAAAAUAUUGUACAAGUCUAGGAAAAACAGAGUGACAUUAGGCAAUAUGGUAGAGAAGGACAUGCCAGGAAUCUGCUUCUCCACCUGGAAAAUAAUUUCAUGGCACAAAAUGGCUAAGGUGACUAUUUUGGAACACUGGACUUGAUUUGAAUGUUCGCAGCUCCCAGGAGAAAGCUUGGCCGUUAAGUUACAGUUGACCUUGGUUGCUUUUGUCUUCAAUAUGGCAGUAGUUCCCUAUCCUACAUCCCUCUGCCAGGUAGUUGUGGAGAUGGCAGCCAGUGGUUCCCAAAUACUGGCAUUAUGGGUUCCAAUUGCUAUUGGUGCUUCUGGAUCACUAAGAUGUAGUACAAAGGCUAGGCCUCAUUGUUUCACCAUACCAGCUGAAGAUGC